GAAAAGAAACCAACAGGGAUUGCCCUAGUAACGGCGAGUGAAGCGGCAACAGCUCAAAUUUGAAAUCUGGCUUCGGCCCGAGUUGUAAUUUGCAGAGGAUGUUUCUGGCGCGGUGCCUUCCGAGUUCCCUGGAACGGGACGCCACAGAGGGUGAGAGCCCCGUAUGGUUGGACACCAAGCCUGUGUGAAACUCCUUCGACGAGUCGAGUAGUUUGGGAAUGCUGCUCAAAAUGGGAGGUAAAUCUCUUCUAAAGCUAAAUACCGGCCAGAGACCGAUAGCGCACAAGUAGAGUGAUCGAAAGAUGAAAAGCACCUUGAAAAGGGGGUUAAACAGUACGUGAAAUUGUUGAAAGGGAAGCGCUUGUGACCAGACUUGCGCCGGGCGGUUCAUCCGGGGUUCUCCCCGGUGCACUCCGCCCGGUUCAGGCCAGCAUCGGUUCUCGUUGGGGGAUAAGAACGAUAGGAACGUGGCCCUCCUUCGGGUGGGUGUUAUAGCCUGUCGUACGAUACCCUGACGGGGACCGAGGUUCGCGCUCCGCAAGGAUGCUGGCGUAAUGGUCAUCAGCGACCCGUCUUGAAACACGGACCAAGGAGUGUCCCAUUAGAGCGAGCGUUUGGGUGUAAAACCCGCACGCGUAAUGAAAGUGAAAUUAGGUGAGAGCUUCGGCGCAUCAUCGACCGAUCCUGAUGUUCUCGGAUGGAUUUGAGUAAGAGUUUUAACGGACGGACCCGAAAGACAGUGAACUAUGCUUGUAUAGGGUGAAGCCAGAGGAAACUCUGGUGGAGGCUCGCAGCGGUUCUGACGUGCAAAUCGAUCGUCAAAUAUGAGCAUGGGGGCGAAAGACUAAUCGAACUGUUGA
rnacentral:rRNA from 1 species